rnacentral:rRNA from 1 species
AGUUUGAUCCUGGCUCAGAAUGAACGCUGGCGGGGUGCUUAACACAUGCUAGUCGCACGAUAACGCUUCAGCUUGGUGAACUAAGUAAAGUGGCGCACGGAUGAGUAACGCGUGGGGAUCUACCCUCAAAUUGGGGAUAACCCGCCGAAAGGCGGGCUAAUACCGAAUGAUAUCUUGAAAACCUAUGUUUUCAGGAUCAAAGGUGGCCGCUACAUGUAAACUAUUGUUUGGGGAUGACCCCGCGUACCUUUUUCUUGAUGGUACGGUAAGGGCCAACCAAGGCUGCGAUGAAUACCUGGUCUGAGAGGAUGAUCAUUCACACUGGAACUGACCACGGUCCAGACUCCUACGGGAGGCAGCAGUGAGGAAUUUUGCGCAAUGGGGGAAACCCUGACGCAGCAACGCCGCGUGAGUGAUGAAGGCUUUCGGGUCGUAAAGCUCUGUCAAGUGGGAAGAACUCACAUGGUGUUAAUAUCGCCAUGUGCUGACGGUACCACUGAAGGAAGCACCGGCUAACUCCGUGCCAGCAGCCGCGGUAAUACGGGGGGUGCGAGCCGUUAUUCGGAAUUACUGGGCGUAAAGAGCGCGUAGGCGGUCUUUUAAGUCAGGUGUGAAAGCCCGGGGCUCAACCCCCGGAAGUGCACUUGAAACUAAGAGACUUGAGUAUGGGAGAGGGAAGUGGAAUUCCUGGUGUAGCGGUGAAAUGCGUAGAUAUCAGGAGGAACAUCAGUGGCGAAGGCGACUUCCUGGACCAAUACUGACGCUGAGGCGCGAAGGCGUGGGGAGCAAACAGGAUUAGAUACCCUGGUAGUCCACGCAGUAAACGGUGAACACUAGGUGUAGCGGGUAUUGACCCCUGCUGUGCCGCAGCAAACGCAUUAAGUGUUCCGCCUGGGGAGUACGGCCGCAAGGUUAAAACUCAAAGGAAUUGACGGGGGCCCGCACAAGCGGUGGAGCAUGUGGUUUAAUUCGACGCAACGCGAAGAACCUUACCUAGGUUUGACAUCCCGGGAAUCCUGUGGAAACACGAGAGUGCCCUUCGGGGAGCCCGGUGACAGGUGCUGCAUGGCUGUCGUCAGCUCGUGUCGUGAGAUGUUGGUGUAAAAACGACGGCCAGUGAAUUGUAAUACGACUCACUAUAGGGCGAAUUGGGCCCUCUAGAUGCAUGCUCGAGCGGCCGCCAGUGUGAUGGAUAUCUGCAGAAUUCGCCCUUGUUUGAUCCUGGCUCAGGAUGAACGCUGGCGGUAUGCUUUACACAUGCAAGUCGUACGGGAGUUUUUAACUCUAGUGGCGGACGGGUGAGUAACACGUAAGAAUUUGCCUUUAGGAGGGGGACAACAACUGGAAACGGUUGCUAAUACCCCAUAUGCUUUCGAGUGAAACGGUUUUUCCGCCUAAAGAGAAGCUUGCGGCUGAUUAGCUUGUUGGUGAGGUAAUGGCUCACCAAGGCGACGAUCAGUAUCUGGUUUGAGAGGACGCCUAAGGUAGAAUUAGUGACUGGGGUGAAGUCGUAACAAGGUAAAGGG